AACUAUCAAACUGCAAUUUUUAUUUUAUUUUAAAUUAACAAUUGCAGGUUUGGAUGUUGGAUGCUUGCUGGACAACACUACGGAUGGCCCAGCUCAUCUGAAAUUUAUUAGCUGAUCCAAGCAUCAUGGAUUAUCCACUUGGCGUGAUAAGUUAUCACCUGCUGAGGACUUAUCCAGAGAUAAUAAUGGAUUGCUUCUAAUUGUAGAGAUACUAUAGUAUCUUACUGAGAAUC
rnacentral:misc_RNA from 1 species